AAAGAGACCCGAGUAGGUCGAUAUUGAGAUUUUAAUAAGAAAAUCUCAAUAUUAAAAUUCCAUAAAUGAAAUGGAAUUAUACUCAAAAAGGAAAAUAUGAAAAGGUGGAUAAAUUGCACUUAAACUCGAAAAUUGGAAAAUAAGGCUUUAAUUCCCGGAAAAUAGAAAUUUAAUAUAUUUUUGACGGGAAUUAGUAUUUAUAAAAAUAAUGUCGAUAAAUUGAUUAUCGGUAAGUAUUAAAAUGAGAUUUGGACAAAAAAGUUGGAAAAAGUGCGUUUUAGCUCAAAAUUGAAUUUUGAGCGUUUUUAGCCGGAAAUUGCUAAAAUAAACUUACGGAAAUAGAAUUAUGAGAUAUUAAGGUGAUAUUAUUUAUUUGGACAUAAAUAAUAUGAAAUUUAUGAAGAUCAAAUGAUUAAGCGAUUAAUGGGUUAAAUUGGACGAAAGAAAAGUUGGAAAUUGAAAGGUAUGGAGGUGGCAACUUUAAGGAUUAAAAGAGAUACUUUGCCAUUAAUAUAAAAGCCUAUUUUAUGUGAUUUAAACUCAGAAUAAUUCCAUUUUCAGCUUCCAAAAACGAGCUCAUCUCCUUCCUUAGAGAAAUCAACAUGAAAAAUUUUCAAAACUCCAUAACUUCUUCGUUUUUGAUCCGAUUGGAGUGAUUCUUGCGGCAACGGAAAGAGGAAAACGAUACCUACUGAUUGAGAUCAUCAAACCAAGACUUGACGAGGCGACUACCAAUGGAAUCCGAAACUUACAGAACGCGAGAUCGCUAGGUAUUAUCAAAGAUUAUGGAUAGCAAGCAUGUGUUUUCAGGUACCUAGAUUCUGAACUUGGCUAGAAGUCCGUCUUUGACCGGAAGUCCCUUUGGCUAUGUACAGUCCCGACUUCCAUAAUUGCUGCAGUAGUGUAAUGUUUGACUAGUGUCGUAGCCUAGUAAAUUAAUAUGUUUUUCCUUGUUUACAGUUGUUGACAAUGUGUUUAUGUUUGUUUUGGCUACGAUUGUCAUAUUUAUUCCACGGAGGUAAAUUCCCGUGAGGUGUAUGUAACACUAGUAUUGUACGCCGGGUUAGUACGUACAAGGUACAGAAACGAUAGGCCCGAGCAAGUUGUAAUGUUUUGCUAGUGUAUAUAAAUGCUUCCGUUUGUAAA